UACGUAGGGGGCAAGCGUUAUCCGGAUUUACUGGGUGUAAAGGGAGCGUAGACGGCCAGACAAGUCUGAAGUGAAAAUCCAGCGCUUAACGUCGGAAGUGCUUUGGAAACUGCCGGGCUAGAGUGCAGGAGGGGCAGGCGGAAUUCCUAGUGUAGCGGUGAAAUGCGUAGAUAUUAGGAGGAACACCAGUGGCGAAGGCGGCCUGCUGGACUGCAACUGACGUUGAGGCUCGAAGGCGUGGGGAGCAAACAGG
rnacentral:rRNA from 1 species